rnacentral:lncRNA from 1 species
CCAAAUAUAAAUAAUUAUAAAUAACUCAACAUGGAUGAAACGAAAUGAAAUAAUCAUAAGCUUAACAUAAUACAUAAUGUCAUUAAUCAUUACAUAUAAUAUAACCUUGCAUAAAUAGUCUACAAAACAACACAAAACUCAUAAAAAUAGUCCAUGAAACAACAUACUUUCUGCAUAAAUAGUCCAUAAAAUAAUCCAAAGUCACCAAAAUAGUCCAUAAAAUAUUUGA